rnacentral:tRNA from 1 species
GGGGAAGUAGCUCAAUGGUAGAGCAGCGUCUUACUUUCCGCAGAAUGCAAAGAAAGUUCCUUGAUUUUGGUUAUUAACCGGUUAUUACUUUCCGCAGAAUGCAAAGCAAGUUCCUAAUUUUGGCUCAUAACCCGCCGGUUGCAGGUUCGACUCCUGCCUUCCCCA